AUGACGAUGAAGGACACACAGAGGAGUGUGAGCGGUGAUGGUACCAAGGUUACCGGCAGGUAUGCAUGCAGGAACUGACUGUACAGUGUUCCUAUAAUGCUACUGGUUUUAACGUCUGUACUGUGAUGCUACUGGCAGUUUAAAUAAAUCUGCUAUCAUUUGGGAUGUGAGUUGUCACAACUCGCUGUGCUCUGGUGUUCAGCUCAGAAUUUCUUUUGGGAAUGAUUCCUCUGAAUAGACUACUUAUGCUUGACAUUUUACUUUUGUUAUUUCUAUUUGUAACUCAAUUUCGGUAUCCUCUCAAAUUGACAAUACUUUUUCUGGAUAUGGUAGUUGAGAAUAGUUAUGGUAUAUAGCGGAGUUAGCCCAUCCUCACCAAUGACUCUUCCUCAGGGAUUUGCUGAACUAGAGUUAGUAAUGGGGGUAUUGCAGACUGUUUAGAAUUAUGGGGGUAUUGCAGACUUUAGAAACUGAAUUAAAUUUUUGUGCAAUUGAAAAAGGUGUAUACAACUUGAAUUUAUUAGGUAGUAUAGGAGAGAUAUGAAAUUUUAAAAUUGUUAGUCAGAUUUGUGUGUUGUUUUGGGUAGUAUUCAGUUUUGUUCCAUCUUAGAGGCCAAUAAUGCACAUGUGAUAUUAUCUACAUAAUUCAGUUUAUACGGCUUCCCAUAUUCCAAUGGUUGUAUUUUGCUAAAUUGCCAUCUACUUACUGGAAUUCUCACAAAUAGAAGUGCAGUCAGAAGGUAAAAAGGAUGGUAUGGUAUGUCUCCAUUCACAUGGUACUGAACUGUUAGUGAUUCUUUGUGUUAUUCUGCAGACUUGAACUUAGUUUCUAUGGUUUUCUUUUUCUGUUCAUAGACGAGAGUAUAGUCUGAAGGGAAAAAUUGGUAUGCUCUGAAGGGUGUGCAAGAACAGUGAUUCUUCAUGAUAAUUUUCUGUAGAGGAACAUUUUUGCGAUGGGGCUGGGAACGGUGAUCGGUGGUGCUGGUGUCGGCAGUGCGGUACAAGGUCAGGAUGCGGGAUGGGACGGCCAUCCGUGUGAGGCAGUCGGCGGCGAGGGUUUGUGGCAUCACGAGGAGCGCCCGCGGAUUCAAGGUGUUGGCCCGAGACCUCCGACGAGGGAGGAGACGAUGUUAGUAUUUCCAUAGGAAAAAAACAAGAGAAGAAGAACAAGAACAACGACGGCAAUCUCGGGUUCCAGGUACGAUGGAGCCGGCGGCGAAGCGCAUGGCGCUCGCAAACGUGAUAGUGGAUGGCGACGAUACCCUCAACUGCGGCAUCUGCUACCUCCCUCUCAAGCCACCAGUCUUCUAGUGUGGCGUCGGUCAUACCAUAUCCUCGCGGUGCCGCGACAAGAUGGUGGCGGCAAGGAGGUGCCGUGUGUGUCACAUCCGGUUGACCGGCGGCUAUCGCUGGAACAUCGCACUAGAGAGGCUAACAGAGUCCAUCCGGGUGCCGUGCGCCAACGCCGCCCACGGCUGCACUGCCACGCCGGCCUACUAUGACCACCCCGACCACCUCAAGGCGUGCCCUCACGACGCCGUGCUAUUGCCCGCAGGCAGACUGCGGUUUCGCUAGCUCCACGGCGGCACUCCUGGACCACUUUGCUGACACGCACGGGUGGCCGUGCAUGACCGAGCUUGGGCCUGGGCGUGCAUCGAGGUCCAGCUCUGUGACGGCUUCAACGCCUUCUCGGCCCGUGCCCAAUGCCGGCAGUACCUGUUCCUGCUGAACGUGGCGUUGAACCCGUUUGGCCGAGCGGUCUCCGUGCUCUCCCUGCAUCCUCGGGCGUUGUCGGCGGCGCCAUGUUCUUUGGAGUUCGAGGUAAGACUCAGGUACUGCUGCAACAUCAACCACCGUGGCGACACCAGGAAACUACGUUUAAAGUAGGGUGCACUGAUCUCUCCGAACUCAGAUUUAUGACAAGGACACAAGCAAAUUUAUAGCAUCCGUUGUGAUGAUACAAGGGAAGUAAGCAUAGAUGCGCUCAACGUGAUGAUAGAUGGGAGAGCUCGGCCUAUGCUGCCAACUGAUCUGCAGCGGUGCAGAAGGAGAUUUCAAAAGCAGGGCAAGCGAGAGCGACUGUUCUAUUGAUGGUCAAAGGGAGGGCUUGGCAAGAGAGAUUGAGGGAGCUCUACUACCUCGAUCUUGGCAUAGAACCUGAUGGCAUCAUGCCCAGGAAACUUCCUUCUUCAGUAUGAAUGGGGAUUUAUAUGACACCAAAAGAGAAGUCCGGCGUGUUUCUUGGUUCUAUGGAAGCCCUCGACCGGAAGCAAAUAGAUCACAUCGCAAGUUGCUUGCCCAAUAUAAUCGUGCCGCAAGUUACCAACAUCGUGUGCUUAUACACCAUCGACUUUGCUGGAAAUCUAUCUGUCCGUGCUCCACCGUCUGUCGGAACUUCUUCUGCCCAUGCUACACCUGAGCUCAACACUGCAUCGCCCGGUUCGUUUGCUUGCUUCCUUUGCUUGGCUCAGGAAGGAGAAGGCCAGGACUAGCGACAAGAACCUAAGGGUCUUGCGUCACGGCCUUUGCCCAGAAGGCGAAGAACUAAAACUAAUUUUUUUUUACCUUCCAAAAAAUUACAUGAUACAUAACUACUCCCUCCG